UCUCUCCCAGGCUUUCAGAAGGUGAAGGUUUGUCUUCUGAGCAGGAGACAGGCACCUCGGACAGAGCAGCGGGGGAGCAUAGAAGGGCUCUGGCCCAAUACCUGCCAGACUGCGGGCCCUGAUAGAAAGGGCCUAGAGGGUACGAAGGGCCACAAUGGAAGUGGCCCAGGGACAGUUAGACAAGGGGAGAGAAGGAGGGCAGGGAGGCUGCCACUAGAGGGUCCCUGGGUUGGGACCCAGAGUAGUGGGUGGGCCAGACCCCCCGCCCUUCCUCCUUGUACAGCACCCAGCCAUGGAAGGGUGGCUGUGACAGACUGCAACUGGCCCUUGAACAGGGGGACUAGACUCGAAGGGUUGUGGUUGGCCACUGCGGCAGGAGUGAACUGGACUGACUGCUGGACAGAUACUGGAAGGGGGUGAGGGUGGACUUGGGGGCACUGCCAGAAGGCUUUGUCCUGAAAAGGAUGCCACCGAGCGAGGAGCAAUGCGUGUCCAGACGCCAGCAGGGUGAGAGACAGAUGGGACAUCACCAGCAGAGGGUGCCCCACAGAGGACAGAGCUAAUUCCCAGAUGUGCCAGCGGGAGGAGCUGCAGUGGCACCACAAGAGGACAAAAAAAGAAGACACCAGGAAUGUGGUUUAAGUGGGCCACAACUUUAUUAAGUAACAUCUGGGAACUAUCCAGCAAUAACGCAUCCAGUGCAAGUCAUCCAUCCUUUGCAAUCGGUUCCACUUGGUGGAAGGUCACCAUCAAUCCCCACCCUGUGAGCCUGGUCUCACAAUCAUUACUGGGACCCCACUGCCUUGCCCAAGGAGCGGGGAACAGGUGGUUGUCUCCUUGCUGUACCAGACAUUAGGAGCUCCAACCCAUUCUCCACAUUCUUUAGGACAUUCCUUCUCCUAUUCCGCUUCCAAAUUCUGGUUGAUCAGUCAACCAGAGCCCCCUCUGAACAAUUAUCUGGGCUGGACGUCUGCCAAGUUGUGACAACAAUUAAUUUCAUAACUCAACAUUCCCACUGGGUUUCUGGGUUGCUGAAAGGAAGGUAAAGAAAACCCAUACCAUGCAACCAGUCUGACAGGGAGGGAAGAGGCCUACAGCAAAACCCAACAACCUGGUCUUACUCUAAUCACAGAGGGUUGGUGGGGAGAAGAGGAGGGGGAUAGUGGUCCCCGCCCCGAUACAGAACACCUCCUCCUGGCAUGGUGAAGUUCUUUGAAUCCCUUCCCUUGGGUGUCUAGCAGCCAAUAAGAUUAUGCCACACUCUUCUGUCUAACUAAUCAGCCACAGAGGCCCCCUCCUCAAACCCAUGAGGAGAGGAGUGGACUUGCCAUUCUUAAUGGGGCUGAGGGUUCUUUUUCCCCUGCUGGUCCAGAUAAAACCUUCCCAUCUUCGAGAGUACGGGAAGGGUGGAGGCAUUUGAAAAUAAGGUUCUUAUGACCUUCUCCUGAGCAUUAUGUUAUAUGCAGCUUCUCUUAUCUGAGGAUACCAGAUCCAUCAGAAUGGGACACUAUUUACUGAAAUGAAUUGUCUUGUCAACUUUUAUUGGUUCAUGAGGAGAGAUGAUUUGCCAGUUCCUUCUCUGCCUCCUUUGUAUAGUUUUUGAUAAUCUACAUGUCAGCUAUGGAAUGUUUCAAAUACAUCAUCUUUCAGAAAAAGUGGUUGAUUCAAAAACAGGACAAUCUUAUGGCUAAAGAUUGCUGCAGUGCUCUCUCUUUUUGGCCUGUAUCUAGACUUGUACCUAACUAGCACUGGAUGAAAUUAUUAAAGAAAACUUUUUUAAUUAAAAACAGCAUAAUGUCAAAAACGAAUGUUUUUCAUUAAAUAUCAUUUUCAAUAUCAUUUUAUAUUUUUCAAAAAAUAUUCAAAGCAAAACAUUUCAGGGUAAAUUGGCCCCAAAUUUUAUAUUUUUUCUUUUACUUUCUUUUCUUAGAAAAGUAGGAAAAAGUUAGAGUGAAAAAGUAACACUUUCAUUAUUAAAUUUUAAUUUUUGUUACUUUUUGAAACUCUCUUUUUAAGUGAGACUUAACAACCAUGAUUUUUUGUUACCAUUUGGAAGAUACACAGACACACUUUCUCACUUUUUUUGAGUAUGUGUGUAUAAGUAAUACCUUUCAUACUUUGAUACUGUUUUCCAGUUGGCAAAAAUGGGGAGAAAUAAUGUAGAAAAACCUUUCUUAAUUUUUUUGAAUUUUUCCUUAUUUCCCAAUGUGAAUUUCAAUUAACUAUUUUUCUUCAAAAAAUUGCAGUGGGAAAAAUUACCAGAGGUGGGAAGGCUAAAUUCACAGCUGGUGUCAGUACUCUACUUUCACUAACUUCAGUUUGAGCUUACCAAUAUUGACUUCAGUAUCACCUCGGGACAUGAGGACAAUGUAUAGGUUUGUGUAUUUAGAAACAUAUGAGUGUAUUUAGUAAGUGUGGGAAUCAAAAAAGUUAUUCACACAAGGCUUCAGGAUUUUGCUAAGCAAUCAUGGGGCUGUAUUCAAAAUGUGAUAAUUCAUACCAAUACAUUGGAAUUUAUACAUAUUUAAGAUACACGAUAUUUACAGAUACCAUCCAGGACAGGUUACAGAUGCAAGAGGAACCUGCAAGAAGAACUGUAUUACAUAGAUCCAAGAGGUGCUCAUUUUUGUGGUUGUUAUAUAGAAUAAGGGGAUUUUAUGAUGGCUAAAUACAAAUAAAGUGUCUGUUUCAAUACACUUUGAAGUAUUCAUGAGUUUAAUUGCCUUCAUGA